rnacentral:lncRNA from 1 species
GCAGGAUUUGCUACUGCUGCUGCUGUUGCUGCUGCUGCUCCUUCUGAAGUUGCUGCUGCUGCUGCUGCUGCUGCAGGGACUUGAGGUAGGCAUGCUCCUGCUGCAGCUGCCUUUGGAGACGUUACUGCCGCUGCUCCUCUAGUUGCUUCCGCUUAUAUUCCUGCUCUUGCUCAACCUGCCGCUGCUCCUCCUGCCGCAGAGCCUGAAUGUCCUCUAGCCGCCACUGCUGCUCCUUUUCCUUCAGAUUCUGCUGCUUGCGCUCUCAACGCUGUUGCUCCUCAGCUCCUCGCCGCUCCUCCUCUCGCUCCUCUAUUCGACGCUGCCGCUGGUGCAACAGGUGUUUGAUGUGCACCUCAGGGUCUCGCUGUUGCUGCUGCUGCUGCUUUAAAGCCUCGGAGUUGUCCUUAUUCUCCUGCUGGAGCCGGAGGAAUUCCUGGCGUAGUGUGAACUCCCCAGGCACAUUCAUGAUGGAGCUUGGCUCUCCUUCUUCUCCAUGGCUGUCAUCUUCUUCUUCACUGCCGCUAUACUCAUAUUCUGUCUCCUCUUUCUUGCCCCGCUUCUUCCGGGACCGGUCAACGUGGUCCUUGAGCUGGAUGGGGACCUGCCGCUCUGUGGGCUGGUCUCAGAUGAAGGGAAGCUUCAGUAGCUGCUCGGUUGGCGGUCGGCUCAGGGCCCCUGGCAUGUGGCUUGUUGAAGUGAAUGAGUUGAUGAGAUGCUAG